UCCCUCUUGCCCUCAAACCAGAGCCCGUAAGUGCUUCGUGCCCUCUUGCCUUCCUUCCCUGUGGAACUGCAUCCCAGCUGCUGGAAAGAGCCGUGCUGCAGGAGGAAUGGGCAAGGGCAAAAACAGGCAGCAGGCCGCUGAUAUGCUGUGUAUGCAAACAGUGAAUGCAAAGAGAGAGAAAAAGGCCACCUUGAGCUGUACAUAACCAGGAAUUUUUUUAAUUGGUCUUGUCCUUCGUCUUGAUAAAUGAAGAGAAAUUGUUCCAGAAUACAGGCAUCCUGGAAGUACAGAAAGCAGCAUGGAGAAUUGCUGCUUUUUUCCUUGCUCCUGAGCCUCCCCAAGGAUGUCCAGAUGAGAAGGAUGGAUGACAUUUUGUCAUAGCAAACAUUGCAUUUUCUCCUGCUAAAUCAAAACAGUUAACACAUCCAGGUGAAAUGUUGCUCUCACUGUUUUUUUUUUGUGUGAUGUCAUUCUCAGCCUCCCAUCAGCCACAUAAGCUAGGAAAAAGGGGAAAAUCUGCAGUAUCCCUUUUAACAGACACAGAUAUUUAUUUGUGUCACCUCCCAGCACAUCGAUAUUCUGGCCUGCAGUAUGAAGAAGGUUACUUUUCUGUAACACUCAAAAACCGCACGCUCUGCUUUCUUAGAGAUGGGUCCUAAACAGGAAUGAUGAACAAGUUAAAAUCUAUUUCAAUUUCUCUCCAAGCAUUCAUUCUGUGCAGGAAGGAUGGACAAAUAAGUUUCACUAAUUAUCUCAGAGUCACGUAAUAUAUUAAUUAUAAUGAAUUCUUAAAAAAUAUGUAAUUCUAAGGAUGUUGGUUCAUCUCUGCCAUUUUUUGUCAUAAGUAAGCACUUUUGACUCAUACUUAGAGCCACUCCUUCUUUGCCUUUUCCUUAGCUUAAUAACUUAGCUCAAUAAAGGUGGAGAAAAUACAAUUGUUUCCGGAGACUGACUCUCAGAACUGCAAUUUACUGUUUGGUGCAUUGUCAGAUUCCUGAG